rnacentral:sRNA from 12 species
CACCGAGUCCGCGGCUCCGGUGAUCACCGGAGCCUGGUGCGAAAAGGA